rnacentral:rRNA from 1 species
UUACCAUCCCUUGACGUCCAGUGAAUUUUCCAGAGAUGGAUUAGUGCCUUCGGGAACACUGAGACAGGUGCUGCAUGGCUGUCGUCAGCUCGUGUUGUGAGAUGUUGGGUUAAGUCCCGCAACGAGCGCAACCCUUAUCCUUAGUUGCCAGCACGUAAUGGUGGGAACUCUGGGGAGACUGCCGGUGAUAAACCGGAGGAAGGUGGGGACGACGUCAAGUCAUCAUGGCCCUUACGGGAUGGGCUACACACGUGCUACAAUGGCGCAUACAAAGGGCAGCAAGCCAGCGAUGGUUAGCGAAUCUCAUAAAGUGCGUCGUAGUCCGGAUUGGAGUCUGCAACUCGACUCCAUGAAGUCGGAAUCGCUAGUAAUCGUGGAUCAGAAUGCCACGGUGAAUACGUUCCCGGGCCUUGUACACACCGCCCGUCACACCAUGGGAGUGGGCUGCACCAGAAGUGGUUAGUUUAACCUUCGGGAGAACGAUCACCACGGUGUGGUUCAUGACUGGGG